GGCCCGGUAGCGGACGGUUUCCGCGCUUGCUUUCAAUUCUUGGGUUUUCUCCGAUUGUGCGGGAGUGCUCGUUCGACUCGAGCCUGGGCCA